AACAUUUAUGACAGAUUCUGGCACAUGAUAUCUACUUAAUAAAUUCUUUUUGAAUUAAUUAAAAAUACUGUAGAGUUUUAGUUAUUUUUAGUUAUUGGGGUGAAAGGAUCACUUGCAGUCAGGAGUUCGAGACCAGCCUGGCCAAUAUGGUGAAACCCUGUCUCUACUAAAAAUACAAAAAUUAGCUGGGUGUGGUGGUGGGCGCCUGUAGUCCCAGCUACUUGGGAGGCUGGGGCAGGAGAAUCACUUGAACCCGGGAGGCGGAGGUUGUAGUGAGCCGAGAUCGUGCCACUGCACUCCAGCCUGGGCAAAAGAGCGAGACUCUGUCUCAAUAAAUAAAUAAAUAAAUAAAUAAAUAGAAGGAAAUAAAAAACAAUUAGCCGGGCAUGGAGGCAUGCUCCUAUAGUCCCAGCUACUUGGGAGGCUGAGGCAGGAGGAUCACUUGAGCUCAGGAGUUCGAGGCUGUAGUGAGCUAUGAUCAGGCCACUGCACUCCAGCGUGGGCAACAGAGUAAGACUUUGUCUCUAAAGAAAAGUCACUAGAAAUAGACUUACUGACAUACACACGCAAAAGGCUAUACAGAAUCCCCUAAAGAAGCAAACAGUGACAGUGGAGUGGCAAAUGGAGACAUUGCAUUUGAACUUGACAGAUUGUUUUUUUGCAGCCAAGUUAUCUGUAUAGUCUUCUAAUUUCACUGUGGUUUUUUAUUGAUGUUAUGAUUUUUUCUUUUUCUUUAGGGGCCUUGGACAAGUUGUUACUGACUAUGUUCAUGGGGAUGCCUUGCAGAAAGCUGCCAAGGCAGGGCUUUUGGCACUUUCAGCUUUAACCUUUGCUGGGCUUUGCUAUUUCAACUAUCACGAUGUGGGCAUCUGCAAAGCUGUUGCCAUGCUGUGGAAGCUCUGACCUUUUUGACUUCAUACUUUGAAGAAUUGAUGUAUGCCUCUUUGCCUCUGCUUUGUCAUGCCAUUAAGCUCACAAUAAGGAAGAAAUAACAGAUAAGUCCAUUGGUGGACAGCCUUCUUCUCUUAAUCACAAGAUUAUUUUCAGAAUUUAAUCUUUGAGGAAAAGGUUUGAGAGGAAUUAUAUCUAAGUUGUGAGACUGAGUUCUAUAUUCUGGUGAGUUAAUGGGGUUGCCUCCCAGCUUCUUAUAAGACUCACAGUAUAACUAAACAUGAUAUAUCAGCUUUUGCCUUUCAAUUUAUCAAUCUCUUAAAGAGAAUCCAACUUUAUUACGAUUAGUAUAUGAUCAAACUUCCAUAUUUGCCUUGGGAAUAAUGGACAAAGGGAAAUACUCUUAAUUCAUGAAUAAAAACUUUGCAGAAAAUUAGACAGUGUUUAAUUUUCGAAAACUUCCCUCUCUAGACAGUAGAUACCACCUACUGAUGGUUACAUAUACUAGGGAAAUUUUAAAAUUAGGAAAUGCUGAUAGCUCAUAUUAUAAAUUUCUAAAUCCUAGGAAGAAACGCUUGGAGUGCUUCUGAAUAUACAGAAGUUCCAUUUAAGGGCAAGUUUCCCUGUAGAUGUAUCAAAAUACUACCAACUGUAAAUUGAGAUUUAAUUCCCAAAUGUAUUCUACUUGUUCUAAAACAAUCUGUCCACAAAUAUAAAACUAUAAGUAAUAAAUUGUUAUUUUCGCACAAUGGGAAUCUCUAAUGUGAAAAUGUAUUCUAUGAAAAUAAUUUUUUUAAAUAAAAUGUUAUAUA
rnacentral:lncRNA from 1 species